UUUUUUAUAGUUUAAUUUAAAAAUAAAACAUUUUCAAUGUUUUGAUAGUUUUAACACU
rnacentral:tRNA from 1 species